AGACCCGAAACCCGGUGAUCUAGCCAUGGGCAGGUUGAAGGUUGGGUAACACUAACUGGAGGACCGAACCGACUAAUGUUGAAAAAUUAGCGGAUGACCUGUGGCUGGGGGUGAAAGGCCAAUCAAACCGGGAGAUAGCUGGUUCUCCCCGAAAGCUAUUUAGGUAGCGCCUCGUGAACUCAUCUCCGGGGGUAGAGCACUGUUUCGGCUAGGGGGCCAUCCCGGCUUACCAACCCGAUGCAAACUGCGAAUACCGGAGAAUGUUAUCACGGGAGACACACGGCGGGUGCUAACGUCCGUCGUGAAGAGGGAAACAACCCAGACCGCCAGCUAAGGUCCCAAAGUCAUGGUUAAGUGGGAAACGAUGUGGGAAGGCCCAGACAGCCAGGAUGUUGGCUUAGAAGCAGCCAUCAUUUAAAGAAAGCGUAAUAGCUCACUGGUCGAGUCGGCCUGCGCGGAAGAUGUAACGGGGCUAAACCAUGCACCGAAGCUGCGGCAGCGACACUGUGUGUUGUUGGGUAGGGGAGCGUUCUGUAAGCCUGCGAAGGUGGCCUGUGAGGGUUGCUGGAGGUAUCAGAAGUGCGAAUGCUGACAUAAGUAACGAUAAAGCGGGUGAAAAGCCCGCUCGCCGGAAGACCAAGGGUUCCUGUCCAACGUUAAUCGGGGCAGGGUGAGUCGACCCCUAAGGCGAGGCCGAAAGGCGUAGUCGAUGGGAAACGGGUUAAUAUUCCCGUACUUGGUGUUACUGCGAAGGGGGGACGGAGAAGGCUAUGUUGGCCGGGCGACGGUUGUCCCGGUUUAAGCGUGUAGGCUGGUUUUCCAGGCAAAUCCGGAAAAUCAAGGCUGAGGCGUGACGACGAGGCACUACGGUGCUGAAGCAACAAAUGCCCUGCUUCCAGGAAAAGCCUCUAAGCAUCAGGUAACAUCAAAUCGUACCCCAAACCGACACAGGUGGUCAGGUAGAGAAUACCAAGGCGCUUGAGAGAACUCGGGUGAAGGAACUAGGCAAAAUGGUGCCGUAACUUCGGGAGAAGGCACGCUGACAUGUAGGUGAAGUGAUUUACUCAUGGAGCUGAAGUCAGUCGAAGAUACCAGCUGGCUGCAACUGUUUAUUAAAAACACAGCACUGUGCAAACACGAAAGUGGACGUAUACGGUGUGACGCCUGCCCGGUGCCGGAAGGUUAAUUGAUGGGGUCAGCGCAAGCGAAGCUCCUGAUCGAAGCCCCGGUAAACGGCGGCCGUAACUAUAACGGUCCUAAGGUAGCGAAAUUCCUUGUCGGGUAAGUUCCGACCUGCACGAAUGGCGUAAUGAUGGCCAGGCUGUCUCCACCCGAGACUCAGUGAAAUUGAACUCGCUGUGAAGAUGCAGUGUACCCGCGGCAAGACGGAAAGACCCCGUGAACCUUUACUAUAGCUUGACACUGAACAUUGAGCCUUGAUGUGUAGGAUAGGUGGGAGGCUUUGAAGUGUGGACGCCAGUCUGCAUGGAGCCAACCUUGAAAUACCACCCUUUAAUGUUUGAUGUUCUAACGUGGACCCGUAAUCCGGGUUGCGGACAGUGUCUGGUGGGUAGUUUGACUGGGGCGGUCUCCUCCUAAAGAGUAACGGAGGAGCACGAAGGUUGGCUAAUCCUGGUCGGACAUCAGGAGGUUAGUGCAAUGGCAUAAGCCAGCUUGACUGCGAGCGUGACGGCGCGAGCAGGUGCGAAAGCAGGUCAUAGUGAUCCGGUGGUUCUGAAUGGAAGGGCCAUCGCUCAACGGAUAAAAGGUACUCCGGGGAUAACAGGCUGAUACCGCCCAAGAGUUCAUAUCGACGGCGGUGUUUGGCACCUCGAUGUCGGCUCAUCACAUCCUGGGGCUGAAGUAGGUCCCAAGGGUAUGGCUGUUCGCCAUUUAAAGUGGUACGCGAGCUGGGUUUAGAACGUCGUGAGACAGUUCGGUCCCUAUCUGCCGUGGGCGCUGGAGAACUGAGGGGGGCUGCUCCUAGUACGAGAGGACCGGAGUGGACGCAUCACUGGUGUUCGGGUUGUCAUGCCAAUGGCACUGCCCGGUAGCUAAAUGCGGAAGAGAUAAGUGCUGAAAGCAUCUAAGCACGAAACUUGCCCCGAG
rnacentral:rRNA from 1 species